rnacentral:lncRNA from 1 species
GGGCGGCGUGACCGCCCCGCCCCCCGGCGCCCGCCCCUCCUGCUGCUCAGCCAGGCUCCGCGAGCCGCAGGGCGGGGAAGCGGGACGUACCAAGCGGCAGGCGGCGGAGGGGUGCGGGCCGGAACUCCGCCCUUCGUGCUGGUCGGUCUCCACGCCCCACUCGGACUAGUGUCACCGCCUCCCCGCCGCAGACACUAUCCGACAAAGGAGGGGGAAUCAAAGGCUGGGCGAAGAGGCAGGGCAGGCGCCGGUGACGCUGCUGGGCAAGCGGGCUCUGCAGUAGCAUUUGUGGCGACCGUGGCAGUGGCUGUGACUGGAAGCUUCUGGAAAUGGCGGCGAUGAGGACCCCCACAUAGGGAUGGCCAUAGCAGCCACAAAAGGAAGCAAACAAGAACAAGUCCUGAUGGAGCAAUUUAUGAAGACAGGCAGCAUAGAGGGAGAAGAACCUGUCUGUCAACCCCACACACGCUUUCCCAGACGUCUCCUGAAAGCUGAGCAUUUGUUAUCUUAAAGCCUCUUACCAGUUUGGAUAGAUAUGGAUCUUCCAAAAUUAAUGAGCUCCUUAAUAUCGACACUGUUUAUCAACAUAAAGGAUCAAUUUAGGAAGAUUAUAAAAACUGAAGUUUCCGGAACAAUAAAUGGGAGAAUUAAUCUUCUGAAUCAAGGACGUAUCCCUGAAUCUGGGGAGCUCUCUAUCAAAAUAUACAUGCUGGAACCCUACCAAAGGAAUAAUAAAUCUGGAAUGAGGCUCUGACUGUCUAAUUAGGAAAAGACUCCUUCCUGGAAUUCUGCACAUCUCCCUACACCUUAGUGACGGUUAAAUAAAUAAUUAUUAAGCUUCUGGA